rnacentral:sRNA from 1 species
AAAACGUUGCCGCAGGCAACGACCCGAAGGGUGAGGAGCGGAGCGACGAAUAAUCCUUCCCCCACCACCA